rnacentral:rRNA from 1 species
UACAGAGGUCUCAAGCGUCGUUCGGAUUCAUUGGGCGUAAAGGGUGCGUAGGCGGCGCGGUAAGUCGGGUGUGAAAUCUCGGAGCUUAACUCCGAAACUGCAUUCGAUACUGCCGUGCUUGAGGACUGGAGAGGAGACUGGAAUUUACGGUGUAGCGGUGAAAUGCGUAGAUAUUGGGAGGAACACCAGUGGCGAAGGCGGCUCACUGGACUGGUACUGACGCUGAGGCGCGAAAGCGUGGGGAGCAAACGGG